GAGUGAUGUUUAGAGGUUUUCUGAGAAGCACAAGGACUGGACUUUGACAGGAAGCAACGAGGCAAGAGGGAAGCUCGACAACACGUUUUGCUGAGGAUUCCCCCAGGAGAAGUGCUCCCCGGGCGGCCGUUCCUGGCACCAAGACUGGCGGAGCCACCACACCCAUUAAAGGGAUCCACUGGGACAGCGAUCAGGCGGGAACCCCCGAGGGGAAGUGGAAGUGGAAGUGGAAGCAGACGUGGGUAGGAAAGGCGGCAUCGGGGGUCUGACCCAGAAGGAAACCUGAUGAGGAGGGAGAGAGGCUGAACGGAGGAAGGGGCUGGCAAAAGAUGGGGUUUCACCAUGUUAGCCAGGCUGGUCUCGAACUCCUCACCUCAAGUGAUCUGCCUGCCUCGGCUUCCCAAAGCACUGGGAUUACAGGCGUGAGCCACCGCACCCGGCCAGGUGUUUUUAUUUAUAGACUCUAGCACAACUUCUAAUGUUCAGGUGUGUUGCUGGUGUCCUGCAGAUAUUAAUCACCACCCAAGAAAACUUGUUAAAAUGGUGCCUUGAACAUGGGAAGCUGAAGAUGAGGCUCUGGAUUUACGAUAAACCUAAACCCAGGAUGAGCCUAAAGAGGAGACCUUAAAUCAUAAACAGCUUUGUCACCAACCAUCUUUCUAUCCUACUCUAACUCCAACCCCCCUCCCCAAUCCAUCCUUAAAGGAAAUCAAGACUAUUUUUAUUUUUCUUAUUUUCCAGCUUUUAGAGGCAACUGUCAUAUCAAUGCUUCAUGAACACUGUGUUUCUGUAAUAUCAGCAUCUAGAAAGUUCAGAAAUGUGAGGUGAUAGAGACUAUGAAAAAAAAAAAAUGAGGAACUCUCCAAAUACACAAAGAGACAGUUGAUUUGCAUGAGACUUUGAGAGAUGGGCUUUCCAUAUAGAUGGUGCUAAACUAUAUUUUAAAAUCUUACUACAAUUCUUAUGGUAAUCUGAAGCUCAUCCUUCUAAGCUGCUGGUUUCAUAAAUAUAGUCCAUCAUUGUUCGCGUUUGCACAGGGCAGAAAGAAUAUGUGAGGCGGCACAAUAACAACAAUUGUGCUACGCAAAUAACCAUCCCUGUGCCAGGGACUGAGCCAUGAAAAUAACAAGCAGUAAGAGAUUUGUAAAUGCCACACACAUGCAGGGUGUGAUAGGACAGUUCAAAAUUGUCAUCAUUGCUAACUUUUCAGGGCAAUGGGAUGCCCUGGGAAGAACUUGAGUUUAGGACUGGGAAGGCCCAGGUUGGUCCGGUUUUGGUCCUGCAGGUUCUUUGUUUGGUGACUUUGCAGAAGUCAGGAACUAUACCAAGUCGUGGUUUUCUCUCCUGUAAACUGAAAGUAAUAAUAAUACCUACCUGCUCAUGCCAUUACAAUGAUUAAAUGAAGGUUCAUGUGAAGGCCUGGCACACAGCAGAAACUAGAUAAGCAUUAGCUCCUUUUUCUUCCUACUGGAGAACAUGUAGGGUUUAAGUAACCAGAGCAUAAAAAUAGAAAAUAUUUUUAAAGAUUUCCAGUGGCCUUCCAAAGCCCACUUAAUGGUUUUUUAAAUACCAUUUAUUUAAUCCAUUUGUAAUAUUUAUUGAGUACUAUACAGUAAGAGAGGUUAUUAUACUUAUGUCCCCAAAGGCCAUUGGCUUCUAGUGAGAAAGCAAACACUGUUUUGCCCUUGCCCUAUGUCCUUCCUUUCCUCUCUGUCCUUUAUGAAGAGUCCUGGAAGCCUUAAGAAACAAAAAGGAACACCACAGGAAAGAAACCUUGCACUCAUGGCUGCAGGGUCUUUCAUCUACAGGUUUCAAAGCAUUUUCUCCGUAGGUAAUUACUAGCCCUGCUUACCAUGUGUGAAUGCUGAGACACCAUCAAAUUAAGAAGCUUGCCCUAAAUCACAAGGCAAGUCAGAGGAUGGGCUACAGACAGAACAAAGCUGUCCUGUUUGCCAGACUUGGGCUCUAAAGUAGGGCACAUGAGAGUCAACAGAAGACUUCAAGUGACGAGGAAAAAGGUUUGAGGAAUUCUGAUUCCGAAUCAGUGCAAUAACAAGAGCAUGGGCUUCAGAGUCAAAUUUGGUUUCAAAUCUCAGCUCAGCCCCAUUUGACUGGCUGCCUGACCUUUGUCAAAUCAUAAACUAAGUCUAGUUUCCCUUUUUGUGAAA